ACUCGUAGUGACCUCCACCUGAGCACACCCAAUCUUGCCUGAUCUCGUAAGCUAAGCAGUGUCGGAUUUGGUUAGUACUUGAAUGGGAGACCACCUGGGAAUACUGGGUGCUGUAGGUA
ensembl:rRNA 5S_rRNA 5S ribosomal RNA